rnacentral:rRNA from 1 species
CUCUGCCCAAUGAUUAUUUUAAUGGCUGCAGUAAUUUGACUGUACUAAGGUAGCAUAAUAAAUUGAUUUUUAAUUGAAAUCUGGAAUGAAAGAGGUGAUGAAAUAUAAAUUUUAUUAGAUUAAUUUAUUGAAUUUAAACUUAAAGUUAAAAUGCUUUAAUAUUUUUAUGGGACGAGAAGACCCUAUAGAAUUUAAUAUAUUAAAUUUAAUAUAAUAUUAUUUUGAUAUAUUUAUUUGGGAGGAAUUUUAAAUUUACUUAACUUUAAUUAAUUAUUUACAUUAAUAAUUGGAUUAAAAUGAUUUUAUUUAAUUAAGUUUUAGAUUAAAUUACCUUAGGGAUAACAGUGUAAUAUUUUUUUAAAGUUCUUAUUAAAAAAAAUGUUU